CGCAAUUUGCCGGCGUGCCUAUACAUGCAGUCGAACGAACUCUGGUAUUGAUUGGUGCUUGCAUCAUGAUUUACAUUUGAGUGAGUGGCGAACUGGUGAGUAACACGUGGGAAACCUGCCCAGAAGCGGGGGAUAACACCUGGAAACAGAUGCUAAUACCGCAUAACAACUUGGACCGCAUGGUCCGAGUUUGAAAGAUGGCUUCGGCUAUCACUUUUGGAUGGUCCCGCGGCGUAUUAGCUAGAUGGUGGGGUAACGGCUCACCAUGGCAAUGAUACGUAGCCGACCUGAGAGGGUAAUCGGCCACAUUGGGACUGAGACACGGCCCAAACUCCUACGGGAGGCAGCAGUAGGGAAUCUUCCACAAUGGACGAAAGUCUGAUGGAGCAACGCCGCGUGAGUGAAGAAGGGUUUCGGCUCGUAAAACUCUGUUGUUAAAGAAGAACAUAUCUGAGAGUAACUGUUCAGGUAUUGACGGUAUUUAACCAGAAAGCCACGGCUAACUACGUGCCAGCAGCCGCGGUAAUACGUAGGUGGCAAGCGUUGUCCGGAUUUAUUGGGCGUAAAGCGAGCGCAGGCGGUUUUUUAAGUCUGAUGUGAAAGCCUUCGGCUCAACCGAAGAAGUGCAUCGGAAACUGGGAAACUUGAGUGCAGAAGAGGACAGUGGAACUCCAUGUGUAGCGGUGAAAUGCGUAGAUAUAUGGAAGAACACCAGUGGCGAAGGCGGCUGUCUGGUCUGUAACUGACGCUGAGGCUCGAAAGUAUGGGUAGCAAACAGGAUUAGAUACCCUGGUAGUCCAUACCGUAAACGAUGAAUGCUAAGUGUUGGAGGGUUUCCGCCCUUCAGUGCUGCAGCUAACGCAUUAAGCAUUCCGCCUGGGGAGUACGGGCCGCAAGGCUGAAACUCAAAGGAAUUGACGGGGGCCCGCA
rnacentral:rRNA from 1 species